UACGGAGGAUCCGAGCGUUAUCCGGAUUUAUUGGGUUUAAAGGGAGCGUAGGUGGAUUGUUAAGUCAGUUGUGAAAGUUUGCGGCUCAACCGUAAAAUUGCAGUUGAAACUGGCAGUCUUGAGUACAGUAGAGGUGGGCGGAAUUCGUGGUGUAGCGGUGAAAUGCUUAGAUACCACGAAGAACUCCGAUUGCGAAGGCAGCUCACUAGACUGCAACUGACACUGAUGCUCGAAAGUGUGGGUAUCAAACAGG
rnacentral:rRNA from 1 species